rnacentral:rRNA from 1 species
ACGGGUGAGUAAUGUAUCGGAACGUGCCUAGUAGCGGGGGAUAACUACGCGAAAGCGUAGCUAAUACCGCAUACGCCCUACGGGGGAAAGCAGGGGAUCGUAAGACCUUGCACUAUUAGAGCGGCCGAUAUCGGAUUAGCUAGUUGGUGGGGUAACGGCUCACCAAGGCGACGAUCCGUAGCUGGUUUGAGAGGACGACCAGCCACACUGGGACUGAGACACGGCCCAGACUCCUACGGGAGGCAGCAGUGGGGAAUUUUGGACAAUGGGGGAAACCCUGAUCCAGCCAUCCCGCGUGUGCGAUGAAGGCCUUCGGGUUGUAAAGCACUUUUGGCAGGAAAGAAACGUUCCGGGUUAAUACCCCGGGAAACUGACGGUACCUGCAGAAUAAGCACCGGCUAACUACGUGCCAGCAGCCGCGGUAAUACGUAGGGUGCAAGCGUUAAUCGGAAUUACUGGGCGUAAAGCGUGCGCAGGCGGUUCGGAAAGAAAGAUGUGAAAUCCCAGAGCUUAACUUUGGAACUGCAUUUUUAACUACCGAGCUAGAGUGUGUCAGAGGGAGGUGGAAUUCCGCGUGUAGCAG